rnacentral:rRNA from 1 species
AGCAGCCGCGGUAAUUCCAGCUCCAAUAGCGUAUAUUAAAGUUGUUGCAGUUAAAAAGCUCGUAGUUGAAUUUCAGGCCUGGCUGGGCGGUCCGCCCUUCGGGUGAGUACUGCCUGUGGUCGGGUCCUACCUUCUGGCGAAGCGUCAUGGCCUUAACCGGCCGUGGCGGGGAACCAGGACUUUUACUGUGAAAAAAUUAGAGUGUUCAAAGCAGGCAAUCGCUUGGAUACAUUAGCAUGGAAUAAUGGAAUAGGACAAUGGUUCUAUUUGUUGGUUUCUAGGACCGUUGUAAUGAUUAAUAGGGAUAGUUGGGGGCAUUAGUAUUCAAUUGUCAGAGGUGAAAUUCUUGGAUUUAUUGAAGACUAACUACUGCGAAAGCAUUUGCCAAGGACGUUUUCAUUAAUCAAGAACGAAAGUUAGGGGAUCGAAGACGAUCAGAUACCGUCGUAG